GUGGGAGGGCCCAGGCGCGGGCAGGGGUGGGGGUGGCAGAGCGCUGUCCCGGGGGCGGGGCCGAAGCGCGGCGACCGUAACUCCUUCUGCUCCGUCCCCCAG
ensembl:miRNA MIR1237 microRNA 1237